AAGGGUUCUUGUGGGUGCUAAAUAGAACCAUUGGGGUUCUUUGCCAAGGAAAUAGAACCUUUUGCCUGAAAAGGGUGCUAUUUCUUACUCGCGAGGAUUAUUUGAACUUAAACGACCGUUUAUGGAACCCUUUCCCGGAGACGCUCACUCUGCUGCAGUGGAUUUAACGAUGAAGAUGUCUGUCAAUGAUGAAGAUGUCUGAAACACAAUCUUGUUUUUGAGAGGUGGAAAAGUUACGCAAAUCAUCGUUGGUUCAGUACCCAAACCAUAAAAAAUACACUGAUGUCCUGUGGUGUCUGAUCACUAGAUAUCCAUUUCUUAAUGACCACAGCUAAUCUGGUUAUGAGACCCUGCUGGAGUGUAUUAAGAAUAAGUUCAAAAAGGAAAGGUCUCCUUUGAUAAACUUGACGACGGUGCAGGAGAUUAAGAGAAAGUUUGGUGUCAGAAGACAAAGAAUUGUGGCCAUGUGCCUCUGGAGGACCCACCUGGACAUCAGAGAGCAAAAAAGUACAGAGUGGGGGUCCAGAUGUCUUCUGAUUACGAGCCAACACAAGAGAUUAUGUUGGACCUUGAAGCAGUUGGGGAGGACUACCACAGCUUUCAAGAGCAUAUAAACGCCAUAAACAAUUAGUUGUGCCGUCGUCAGCCAGAUAUUAGUCAUAUAAUGGACAGGAUGAGGCAAACUGUCUAUAAGAGGGUAGAGCAAAUGGGAAAACCAACUGAGGAGGUGAUGGAGAUGUUCCAAUUUCUUUGGGUGCCAGAGCUGAUGCAUCAUGAAAUGAAGUUGCGGUUUGGACUGGACUUAAAGCUAAGCCUGCAUAACACCCUCGGUAUAUUGACCCCUAACGUCAUCAGAGUGGCUGACAGUGGGAGUCAGAGGGAGAGCCUGUCAAGCCUACGAGAUACUAACACAGAUGACCUUCAAAAAAGUGCUGCUGUCCUAAUUUUGCCUGCCCUUUUUAAGGAGGAUGCCAAGUUUCUGUAUUGUUUAGACGAGGAACCACUGAGCGUGUUUCCAACCAUCAUCUUCCAGGGUGGUGAUACUCCCCUCCUUGCCAGGAGAGCAUCCAUAAAGAUGGAUGGCAUCACAAUAGCAAGUGGAGAGAUGGAUGUGCCACAUGCCCUCCAAUGCGAAUUUGUCAUUGGCCCCUCCCCUGACAUUGAUGCCUCCUUAGGCCUUAUCUGUAUUUUUUGUUUAUAUUUUCUUUUUGAUGUUCAGUACCCAAAAG